AAGUUUGCGGCACAUGGGUCUAACCAAUCAAGGAGAGGCUUUGACGCCAUCAGAACAUCUCCCACAGUGCUUUGCAGCUCAUUAGCAGCACUCUGUAUACCCGGACACCUGCACUUACCUCCAACAGACAAACCGAGGCUUCGGGGUUUUGUUGGUUUGAGGAAGCUCUGUCCCACUCGUGCCACAGGAGUUGCAGGGGUCGCCACAGCGAACGAGUCGCAUGGUAAACUUGGC